UACGGAGGGGGCUAGCGUUGUUCGGAAUUACUGGGCGUAAAGCGCGCGUAGGCGGACCUGCAAGUCGGGGGUGAAAGCCCGAGGCUCAACCUCGGAACUGCCUUCGAUACUGCGGGUCUCGAGUCCGGGAGAGGUGAGUGGAAUUCCUAGUGUAGAGGUGAAAUUCGUAGAUAUUAGGAAGAACACCGGUGGCGAAAGCGGCGCGCUGGAUCUCUUCUGACGCUGAGGCGCGAAAGCCAGGGGAGCGAACGGG
rnacentral:rRNA from 1 species